ACCUUUUGGACAGCUGAAGACUACCACCAAGAUUACUACAUUAAAAACCCUGGAGACUAUGCAUACUACAAAGAGCGAUGUGGUAGGGAAAAAAGGCUCAAGUACAUCUGGGGCGAAGAUGUC
rnacentral:ribozyme from 1 species